GGGGUUAUGGGGAGAAAGGAGGGAGUGCACCCUGAGUUUGGGGUACGGGGAACCCCGAAAUUGGUGAGGGGGAACCCCGAGAUUGGGGAAGGGGAACCUCGAGAUUGGGGUUAUGGGGUACCCCGAGAUUGGGGAGGGGGAACCCCUAAAUUUGGGGAGGGGGCACCCCGAGUUUGGGGUUAUGGGGAGAGGGGAGGGAAUGCACCCUGAGUCUGGGGCAUGGGGCACCCCGAAAUUGGGGAGGGGGAACCCCGAGUUUGGGGAGGGGGAACCCCCAGAUUGGGGAGGGGGAACCCCUAAAUUUGGGGAGGGGGCACCCCAAGUUUGGGUCAUGGGGGAGGGAGUUUGGACAGGGGGUGUUUGGGGGCUCCUGGAGAACUUUGGGGUGGCCCCGGUGACCCUGUGGUGACCUUGGGAUGUCCCUGGUG
rnacentral:lncRNA from 12 species